GAAAUGGACGUGCACAUCGAUCGCGCCAGGUGUCGCGAUCAAUCCCUCGCAAUCGCGCACCGUGGUGCCGGUCGAGACGAUCAGGCGCGGAUCGACGCCAUCCAUGAUCGCCGGAUUGCCGGCCUUGCCGAUGCCGACGAUGCGCCCGUUGCGGAUGCCGAGAUCGCCCUUGACGAUGCCGAUGACGGGAUCGAUCACGGUGACGUUGCAGAGCAGGAAAUCCAGCGCGCCUUCCGCGCUGGUGAGGCCGGCCAUGCCGAUGCCGUCCCG
rnacentral:sRNA from 1 species